rnacentral:rRNA from 1 species
ACCUUUCAAGUGAGUGGCGAACGGGUGAGUAACACGUGGAUAACCUACCUCAAGGGUUGGGGAUAACAUUUGGAAACAGAUGCUAAUACCGAAUAAAACUUAGUAUCGCAUGAUACCAGGUUAAAAGGCGCUACGGCGUCACCUAGAGAUGGAUCCGCGGUGCAUUAGUUAGUCGGUGGGGUAAAGGCUUACCAAGACAAUGAUGCAUAGCCGAGUUGAGAGACUGAUCGGCCACAUUGGGACUGAGACACGGCCCAAACUCCUACGGGAGGCUGCAGUAGGGAAUCUUCCACAAUGGGCGAAAGCCUGAUGGAGCAACGCCGCGUGUGUGAUGAAGGCUUUCGGGUCGUAAAGCACUGUUGUAUGGGAAGAACAGCUAGAGUAGGGAAUGACUUUAGUUUGACGGUACCAUACCAGAAAGGGACGGCUAAAUACGUGCCAGCAGCCGCGGUAAUACGUAUGUCCCGAGCGUUAUCCGGAUUUAUUGGGCGUAAAGCGAGCGCAGACGGUUAAUUAAGUCUGAUGUGAAAGCCCGGAGCUCAACUCCGGAAAGGCAUUGGAAACUGGUUAACUUGAGUGCAGUAGAGGUAAGUGGAACUCCAUGUGUAGCGGUGGAAUGCGUAGAUAUAUGGAAGAACACCAGCGGCGAAGGCGGCUUACUGGACUGUAACUGACGUUGAGGCUCGAAAGUGUG